rnacentral:tRNA from 2 species
UAGUUCAGUUGGUUAGAAUACCUGCCUGUCACGCAGGGGGUCGCGGGUUCGAGUCCCGU